rnacentral:rRNA from 1 species
GGAUGCGAUGAUACCAGCACUAAAGCACCGGAUCCCAUCAAAACUCCGAAGUUAAGCAUGCUUGGGCGAGAGUAGUACUAUGAUGGGUGACCUCCUGGGAAGUCCUCGUGUUGCAUUCC